rnacentral:rRNA from 1 species
CAACUUUCAGCAACGGAUCUCUUGGCUCUCGCAUCAAU